rnacentral:rRNA from 1 species
GGUUUUCCGUAGGGUGAACCUGCGGAGGAUCAUUAAUGAAAUUAUAAUCCGGCGAGGGAAAGGCGGAGAGUUGUAGCUGGCCCUAGGGCAUGUGCACGCUCUCUUCCGGACUUUCGCCGUAUGGGCGCGGGGCGACCCGCGUCUUCAUAUACCUCUUCGUGUAGAAAGUCUUUGAAUGUUAUUACCAUCAUCGAGUCGCGACUUCUAGGAGACGCGAUUCUUUGAGACAAAAGUUAUUACAACUUUCAGCAACGGAUCUCUUGGCUCUCGCAUCGAUGAAGAACGCAGCGAAUCGCGAUAUGUAAUGUGAAUUGCAGAUCUACAGUGAAUCAUCGAAUCUUUGAACGCACCUUGCGCUCCUCGGUGUUCCGAGGAGCAUGCCUGUUUGAGUGUCAGUAAAUUCUCAACCCCUCUCGAUUUGCUUCGAUAGGGUGCUUGGAUGUUGGGGGCUGCCGGAGACACUGGACUCGUCCAGGACUCGGGCUCCUCUUAAAUGAAUCGGCUUGCGGUCGACUUUCGACUUUGCAUGACAAGGCCUUUGGCGUGAUAAUGAUCGCCGUUCGCCGAAGUGCAAGACAGAACGGUCCCGUGCCUCUAAUGCGUCGACGCCUCUCGGGGCCGUCUUCCUCAUUGACGUUUGACCUCAAAUCAGGUAGGACUACCCGCUGAACUUAAGCAUAUC